CUCCCGGCACCAGAUGCUGGGCCGGGCCAGGUACAGCACGUGCUGUUGGCCCUGAGAAGGUCCUCACCCCGGGUGUGGCCAUGAAAGGGAAGAAUGAAAUGAGGGGCCCGAGUUUUCUGCUUUCAAUAUUGAUUCUCUUCUACUUCUGCUGAAUCUGAGAUGAGAACAUACUUUGGAAACAACCAAGGAGCAUGAAGGAAUUUAUCCCCAAGGCCAAGAUGAAUUUGAAGUCUCAGAAUGUGGAUGUGGCAUGGAAAAUUCUGGACCUUUAAUGCUUCCCCACCUGAGAGGACUAAAGCAGACAGAUCUGGAUUCUCUAAAAGAUGUGAACCCCAAAAUAGGAAAAGCUGGUGUGACAAUCCAGGGGUCCAGGAUGUGUUAGAACUUGGAGUCAUGGAUCUAAGGACUCAGAACUCUUAUUUGCAGGUUUGUGGUUGUGUAUUGAAUAAUCGCUUUGGAACAGACUAAUGGUCAAGAGCUUCCUAGAAGUGUGAGAUGGCUUGUCACUGCACUUAUAUGGGAAUACCUAACGGAAACUGUUUAUAAGGAUACCCUUUUAGGACAGAAAGGGCUUCAAUUAAAAAUUUCUACACCAUUUUCCUCCAUGAUCAAAGGAAUUGUGUGACUUCAGGGAUGGAAACAUUAGUCAGCAUUUCACAAGAUUAGACUUCUGGCCUGAAGAUCAGAAGCUGCAAUAAGUCAAUAUCUGAAUUUGCAAGUCAGUGAGAAUAACAAAGGCAUUUAUGUUUAGCCCAACUGCAAGCCCAGCCAGUAGGACACGAUCAUCUUCAUUGGUUCCCCAGGUGAUAAAACCCACACAGAUGGAGACAAAGAGCAGAUGUGGCAUCAGUGGUGGUCUUCUGUCCCACUACCGUGACUGGCGCCCCAAGAGGGUGAAAGACACCACAUUGGACUGUUCUGUCAUCACCAUGAAAACAUGAUUCCCUUCCCAAAAAAACAGUCUAGCAAAAUAACACAAACAUGACCAAAGUUGGAGUUAAUUGCUGCAGGAGAAUGAGUGAUCUAAGGGAUCUUGGGGUAGUCAAAGUAUCUCAUUCCCUGAAAGCAUCACAGAAAAGGAGAAAUAAUGUUUUAAAAGGUCUAAAAUUGAAUCCAGAAAUUUGAGACUUUAGAACUUCUGGCAUCAAAUCCAGAAUCCUCCAUUCUCUUCUGAGACUCACUAACCAACUUGGAACAAGACUCUGAAAAAAUGGGGCAUAUCUUCUGCCUCCAAUC